UACGUAGGGAGCGAGCGUUGUCCGGAUUUAUUGGGCGUAAAGCGCGCGUAGGCGGUUUGGUAAGUCGGGUGUGAAACCUCCAAGCUUAACUUGGAGCUGCCACUCGAAACUGCCAUGACUUGAGUUCGGUAGGGGAACACGGAAUUCCAGGUGUAGCGGUGAAAUGCUUAGAUAUCUGGAGGAACACCAGUGGCGAAGGCGGUGUUCUGGGCCGAUACUGACGCUGAUGCGCGAAAGCGUGGGGAGCGAACAGG
rnacentral:rRNA from 1 species